UACGUAGGGGGCUAGCGUUGUCCGGAAUCAUUGGGCGUAAAGAGCGUGUAGGCGGCCCGGUAAGUCCGCUGUGAAAGUCGGGGGCUCAACCCUCGAAUGCCGGUGGAUACUGUCGGGCUAGAGUGCGGAAGAGGCGAGUGGAAUUCCUGGUGUAGCGGUGAAAUGCGUAGAUAUCGGGAGGAACAUCAGUGGCGAAGGCGGCUACCUGGCCCAAUACUGACACUCAGGUGCGACAGCGUGGGGAGCAAACAGG
rnacentral:rRNA from 1 species